UACGUAGGUGGCGAGCGUUGUCCGGAAUUACUGGGCGUAAAGAGCGCGCAGGCGGCUGGUCAAGUCCGAUGUGAAAUCUCCCGGCUUAACUGGGAAAUUGCAUCGGAAACUGAUCGGCUUGAAGGUGGGAGAGGGUAGCGGAAUUCCCGGUGUAGUGGUGAAAUGCGUAGAUAUCGGGAGGAACACCAGUGGCGAAGGCGGCUACCUGGCCCAUUCUUGACGCUGAGGCGCGAAAGCUAGGGGAGCAAACAGG
rnacentral:rRNA from 1 species